CUAAGAAUAUUCCGCAAUGGACGAAAGUCUGACGGAGCGACGCCGCGUGGAUGAAGAAGGCCGAAAGGUUGUAAAAUUCUUUUGUCGGGGAAGAAUAACCAUGGGAGGGAAUGCCCGUGGGAUGACAUGAACCGGCGAAUAAGCCCCGGCUAACUACGUGCCAGCAGCCGCGGUAACACGUAGGGGGCGAGCGUUGUUCGGAAUUACUGGGCGUAAAGGGCAUGUAGGCGGUUUUGUAAGACUGGCGUGAAAGGCUGCAGCUUAACUGUAGCAUGGCGCUGGUAACUACAAGACUUGAGUCACGGAGAGGGAGCUAGAAUUCCAGGUGUAGGGGUGAAAUCUGUAGAUAUCUGGAAGAAUACCAGUGGCGAAGGCGAGCUUCUGGCCGAUGACUGACGCUGAGGUGCGAAAGCGUGGGUAGCAAACAGG
rnacentral:rRNA from 2 species